UACGGGGGGGUAAGCGUUGUUCGGAAUUACUGGGCGUAAAGGGCGCGUAGGCGGCGUGACAAGUCACUUGUGAAAUCUCCGGGCUUAACCCGGAGCGGUCAAGUGAUACUGUCGUGCUAGAGUGCGGAAGGGGCUACUGGAAUUCUCGGUGUAGCGGCGAAAUGCGUAGAUAUCUGGAGGAACACCGGUGGCGAAGGCGGCAUCCUGGACCGGGUAUUGACGCUGAUGCGCGAAAGCCAGGGGAGACAAAGCGGG
rnacentral:rRNA from 1 species